UGAACAGUUCCGGAGCUUCAAAGUUCAGGUGAUGGCCAGAGACAACGGUUCUCCUCCUCUCAGCAGCAACGUGACCGUGAGUGUGUUCAUAUCAGAUGUGAAUGACAACUCUCCUCAGAUCCUGUACCCCGGGCCAGAGGGCAAGUCGUUCAUGACCGAGCUGGUCCCCAAAGCUGCACACGGAGGCUCUCUGGUGUCCAAAGUGAUAGCGGUGGACGCGGACUCUGGACAGAACGCCUGGCUGUCGUAUCAAAUUGUGAAAUCCACUGAUCCGGGACUUUUCACUAUUGGUGUCCACAGCGGAGAGAUCAGGACCCAGCGGGACAUUUUUGAAUCUGACAGCAUGAAACAGAACCUUGUAGUGUCAGUGAAAGAUAACGGGCAGCCCUCUCUGUCUGCCACCUGUUCCAUGUAUUUACUGAUUUCUGAUAACUUGGCUGAGGUGCCAGAACUGAAGGACAUUUCUUAUGAUGAGAAGAACUCCAAACUGACCUCUUAUCUGAUCAUCGCGCUGGUGUGUGUGUCGACGUUUUUUCUGACCUUCAUCAUCAUCAUCCUUGGUGUGAGGUUUUGUCGCAGGAGAAAGCCCAGACUGUUGUUUGACGGAGCAGUGGCCAUCCCCAGCGCGUAUCUCCCUCCUAAUUACGCAGAUGUUGACGGCACAGGAACUUUACGCAGCGCUUACAAUUAUGACGCCUACCUGACAACAGGGUCUCGAACCAGUGACUUUAAGUUUGUGUCAUCGUACAAUGACAACACACUGCCAGCUGACCAGACUCUGAGGAAAAGUCCAUCAGACUUUGCUGAAGUGUUUGGAGACUGCGAUGACUCUCCCGAGGUAGGAAUGUUUGCCAGACACAGUAUAUUUGCUUCAUUUUGUUAGAUCUCUCUUUUGUUAGGUAAUUUGAUAGCAUUAAUAGAGACGGUUAAAUGUUUUUGUCGUUUUGUCGGCACACGAUUUAAGGAACUUGGUUUGCCAUUAUGAAUUCAGUGAAAGAAUACUUUCUUCAGAUUCUGCCUUUUUCUUGUUCGUUCAUUUGUCCCUUUACUGUAGUAUCAUAAUGUGCUUUUUUAAAUAUCAUUGUCA